UUAGGGGUUUCUGGUUUUUCAAGAAAUGAAUUUAAUUCAUACGUCUUAUUUAGAGUUUUAUUAUUUGUUUAUUUAUUUUUAUUUGGCGUUAAGAUUGGGAGGGAUUAGCUUCUUAUUUUAUUUUUAUAAUUUUUUGUUUUUUUAGUCUUGUGGGUUUUAUAGUGAUUUUCAAUUUGAUUAUGUUAAAAUUUUAUUUGUUUUGUUCUGUUAUUUUUGUUUAUUUAAUUAUUUAUUGAAAUGUAUUCUUUAUCUUUGGUUUAUGGUUAGUAAUUAUUGUAGAAUUAGUAAAUUUGUUGUUAGGUUGUUUUAUUUGUGCUAAUUUUCUUUGAGGAACUAGGCAAAUUUCAUGUCCGCCUGUUUAACAAAAACAUCUUUUCUCGUUAGUUUUUGAAGUAUGGCCUGCCCGCUGACUUUGGUGUUGAAGGGCCGCGGUAUUUUGACCGUGCAAAGGUAGCAUAGUCAUUAGUUCUUUAAUUGUGAUCUGGUAUGAAUGGCUUGACGAGGCAUGGGCUGUCUUAAUUUUGAAUUGUUUAUUGAAUUUGGUCUUUGAGUUAAAAUUCUUAGAUGUUUUUAUGGGACGAGAAGACCCUAUAGAGUUUAACAUUUGUUAUGGUCCCCUUUCUGUUUGUGAGGGUUCAUUGGGCCGUUUAAUAUGUUUUGUUGGGGUGAUGGGAGGGAUUAAUUUAA
rnacentral:rRNA from 1 species